AGUUUGAUCAGCGGCUCAGAUUGAACGCUGGCGGGAUGCUUUACAUGCAAGUCGAACGGCAGCACGGACUUCGGUCUGGUGGCGAGUGGCGAACGCGAGUAAUGUAUCGAACCGUGCUCAGUAGCGGGGGAUAACUACGCGAAAGCGGGUAGCUAAUACCGCAUACGCCCUUCGGGGGAAAGCGGGGACCUUCGGGCCUCGCACUAUUAGAGCGGCCGAUAUCGGAUUAGCUAGUUGCGUAACGGCUCACCAAGGGCGACGAUCCGUAGCUGGUUUGAGAGGAUCGACCAGCCACUGGGACUGAGACACGGCCCAGACUCCUACGCCGGGAGGCAGCAGUGGGGAAUUUUGACAAUGGGGGAAACCCUGAUCCAGCCAUCCCGCGUGUGCGAUGAAGGCCUUCAAGUUGUAAAGUACUUUUGGCAGGAAGAAACGGCACGGAGCAAUACCCCGUGCAACUGACGGUACUCGCAGAAUAAGCACUGGCUAACUACGCCAGCAGCCGCGGUAAUACGCAGGGUGCAAGCGUUAAUCGGAAUUACUGGGCGUAAAGCGUGCGGCAGUGGUUCGGAAAGAAAGAUGUGAAAUCCCAGAGCUUAACUUUGGAACUGCAUUUUUAACUACCGAGCUAGAGGCAUGUCAGAGGGAGGUGGAAUUCCGCGUGUAGCAGUGAAAUGCGUAGAUAUGCGGAGGAACACCGAUGGCGAAGGCAGCCUCCUGGGAUAAUACCGACACUCAUGCACGAAAGCGUGGGGAGCAAACAGGAUUAGAUACCCUGGUAGUCCACGCCCUAAACGAUGUCAACUAGCUGCUAGCCUCUCGCCUUGGUAGCGCAGCUAACGCGGUGAAGUUGACCGCCUGGGGAGUACGGUCGCAAGAUUAAAACUCAAAGGACUGACGGGGACCCGCACAAGCGGUGGACGAUGUGGACUAAUUCGAUGCAACGCGAAAAACCUUACCUACCCUUGACAUGUCUGGAAUCCGAAGAGAUUUGGGAGUGCUCGCAAGAGAACCGAACACAGGUGCUGCAUGGCUGUCGUCAGCUCGUGUCGAGAUGUUGGGUUAAGUCCUGGCAACGGCAACCCUUGUCAUUAGUUGCUACGAAAGGGCACUCUAGAUUUAGACUGCUGGUGACAAACCGGAGGAAGGUGGGGAUGACGUCAAGCCCUCAUGGCCCUUAUGGGUAGGGCUUCACACGUCAUACAAUGGUCGGGACAGAGGGUCGCCAACCCGCGAGGGGGAGCCAAUCCCAGAAACCCGAUCAGUCCGGAUCGCAGUUCGCAACUCGACUGCGUGAAGUCGGAAUCGCUAGUAAUCGCGGAUCAGCAUGUCGCGGUGAAUACGUUCCCGGGUCUUGUACACACCGCCCGUCACACCAUGGGAGUGGGUUUACCAGAAGUAGUUAGCCUAACCGUAAGGAGGCGAUUACCACGGGUAAGAUUCAUGACUGGGGUGAAGUCGUAACAAGGUAA
rnacentral:rRNA from 1 species